rnacentral:lncRNA from 1 species
UCUCCGAUGGUGCCAAUAUAUAAGGAGACUUUUCUACAGGGGCUUUUCCUGGAAUCAGAUCACUACUAAACUCGAUUUAACCUGCGGGUGGUAAUCCUGGUAGAUCCUCCGAACAUACAUUAGGGUGAUCACACACCUGAGGUACUUCCUUGAUCUCUUUCUUCUUGUCUCUCUUAUUGAUAACGUGCACUGGAAAGGCGUUAUACUUCUUAUGCAGGUAUUUACUGGCCUUCAUACAGGAAAUGAUUCAAAGGUUCUUACUAGGAUUGUCUCCCUAGACGAUUAAGGUUUCUCCGAUCAGCAAGGAAAGAUGCACUACUUUCUCAAAGCAUAACAUCUCGGUGUGAUAAAGGGAUAACUAAUCCAGGCCUAUUAUGACGUCGAAGCUUCCAAUGACCAUAGGCAUGAGGUUGAUGAGAAAUGUGUGAUUAUUUCACUUUAUAGUACAAUUUUCUAGUACUUCUUGGGUGCUACCAACUUAACUGUUUACCAUUUCUACUAUAUAGGUUGGUCUAAAUUUACUAGAUGGAUGAUUUAGUAAUUUCGUAAACUCAAAGGUAACAUAACUUCUAUUGGCACCAGAAUUAAAAAGUAUGUUUGCAUAUAGAUUGCUAAUUGAGUGUGUACCAGUGACCAAUGUUGCGUCGUGGACGAAAUCUUUCUCGUAAUGCCCAACCUCCCCACAUUCAUAACAAGCUUUACUUCCUACUUAUGUUCUGGCUCCUUGGUUCUUUACAGGUUCUGGUGCAAGUCUUGGGAACGUACACUACAGAACAAGGUGGCUCUUCCUUCCACAAUUGCUACAUAUCUAAAAAGCACAUGUGUGAUGAUAACCACACUAAUUUCACUUUGGAGUAACCCUUGUAUAUUGCCUCGACGUCGUAGUCUUGGUAAAUUUUGUAUCUACAUAUUCCUGAACCGCAUCAUGCUUCUUCUCUAACGCCCGCCUAGCCCUUCCCCUGGAAUCUCUUCCAGCCUUCCUUUUGUUACUCCUUGCGUUUGGAAGAUCAUCCUUUUGGACCAUGGUGCCAUGACAUAUUUCUUGGUUUUCCAGGCUGAAGUCCAACCUUUUGGCAUUAUCAUAGGUGGUCGACUUAUGGGUGGUGACUAAUCCUUGACUGUGUUGGGGGUAGACCCCAAAUGUAUCUCUCUACCUUCUUGUAUUCCAGAGUGACCAUUACAGGAUACAAGGUAGCUAGAUCAUUAAAAUGGUUUCUAUAGGCAAUCACAUAUUCUUCUUUCAUCUCCAAACUCCAUAGUUCUUGCCCCAAAUUUUGCAUCUCCUUGUGUGGACAAUACUCCAAUAUCAUGAUCUUCUUUAGUUCGCUCCAAGACAUGGAAUUAGCAUUGCUAAUGCCCAUUUUCUUUACAUAACUAUUACACCAUGUGAGGGUUGCAUCUUCCAAGGUGCAGGUACCAAAAUUCACUUUGUAGUCCUCUACACAAAAGCUAAUCUCAAAGAUGGAUUCCAUUUUCUCUAUCCAACGGGUUAAACCUACUACACCUUCAUUUCCGUAGAAGGAUUUCAACUCGCAGUUCAUAAAAUCCUUAUAAGAAAAGGACCUGGGUGGACCUCAUUUGUCUCCUUGAGAACUUUACCGUCCAGUUCCACCUCCUUAGCUCAUAUUCCUAUUGAUUUUUUAAUUAGCCAUAGCAGUCAGGACUCUUUGGGAUACUAGUGCAUCGACAGUUGUUGGGUCCAUAGGUAUAGGGUUUGGACUAUUCUGGGGACCUGAUUGGUUUCGGUUGGAUCUCAUACAUGUCAUGAUUAUAUAUGAACAUUAAGGUAAUUAUUACAUAUUAGAAUCCUUAGACUAUUUGGUUAGUAAUUCACGAGGGUCAGAAUAAUUUGAACGUUGCAAAAAAAAUCAUAUGAAUCAAGUGAUUUGUUAUGUCACACGCAAUCAUUUUCUAAUGUAAGAUAUUCAUUCAUGAAACACAUAUUUUUCAUAUAUUUAAUUAACUUUGAUUACAAACAUGAUCCUUUUUACAACAUGGUUUUCAAAAUUAUGCAAAAAGAGUGGUUUGAAUAGGAAAAUCAUCUAUUUUACAUACAAAAGAUAUAGCAGUAGCCAGUAGACUAUUAUCUACUUAUAUUUUGUCCAUCCUUCAAACCUAAAAAUACAGCUACUAUCUUCCUUAGCCACAGCUAACUACCAAAAAACAAAAUAAACUACCUCCAAUGCAACCAAUUGUGCCAUCUGGAAAUGAAGGUAAUCGAUCAUCACCUUUGAUGUAACCAACCUAAUCUCAAAUACUAUAGCCCUUUGUUAUAACUCCUCCACACGUUGUUCCAACAAUCUUAUCUCAAGCUAUUGUGAUUGACUCUAAGAAUGAGCCCCCUCAAGGUGAUCAUAGGCAUGAAGGAUUCUCGUCUCAUCAAUAUCACGUCCCGGCUC